CUUUUUAAUUUUAAAAAUCAAAAUGAGCAUGCAGUCCAGCAAUCCUGCCUCGGAGUAUGUGUCUGAAGGAAAUGAGAGUUUCCAAGAGCUGUCUGCACCGCCAUGCUUUCUGCAGCGUCGCUCACCUUAGCCAAGGCACGUCAGCAGUACGAGUGUCCUUCACGGAUGCAUGGAUAAAGAUGUUGUGAGAUAGACGGAGGGACAGAUUUCCCAGCGGCUGAGAGGGUUUUGGAGGUCCUGACACCCGGAGGAAUUGGGGUCCGAAGAGGAUGCCGCCUCAUUUCAUCACCAAAGCUGAGGAUGUGUGGAAGGAAGAGGCCAGCGGGGCUCAUCUGCAGGCGCCUGGUGAGAUUCUGGAGUAGGGUCCGUGAGAACGACUCUGGCGAGUCUCUCAACCACGUGCUUCCUUAGCAGAGAACUGUCUAGAUUAGCAGUUCCCAGCGUCCUUGGCACCAGGGACUGGUUUCAUGGAAGGCCAUUUUUCCACAGACGGGAGUUGGGGCGGGGAGGGGGACGGUUUCAGGAUGAAACUGUUCCGCUUCAGAUCACCAGGCAUUAGUUUCUCAUAAAGAGCUUGCAACCCAGACCCCUCCCAUGCCCAGUUCACAGAAGGGCUCACACUCCCCUGAGAUCCACGGCCGCUGCCGAUGUCACAGGUGGCAGAGCUCAGGUGGCCACGCUCACUCACCCACCACUCCCCUCCCGCUAUGCAAUCCAGUUCCUCACAGGCCACCAGCGGGGACCGGUUCACAGCCCAGGGGUUGGGGAUCCCUGGUCUAGAUUAGUGCAGCUUGACCUCACAAAAGAACAAAAACCCUCUGAAUCAAGCAGACCCAUGAUGCCCACCUUAAGCGGCCCCCGAAGGCCCUCACUGGGUAAGGGCAGUAAGCAGCCCACGUCCUGCUCCCCAGGAGACCACUUUCCAUCACUUCAGAAAAGCCUGGGGAUCUCCCUUCACUCUAUGUCUGAGGCCAUUUGUGAAGACGUAGUUCAGGUGCAGAUUCAGCAGGCACAUUCCUCCGCUGACUCCAGGGCAGCUUUCUCACCUAGCUCGGGCACCUCUGUGGCCCUGGGUGCAGAUCUUCCAGGCCUUGGCUACCCAGGCACCUGUGUCUUCCCUGCUGAGGGCUGCUUCUCGCAGCCCCUCCCAGGGGCCCCUCCCUGGAUGAAGGAGAAGCUCAGAGCUCCUCCCAGGAUGGAGAGAGGCCCACCUCUUCCCCACACACUCCUCGCUAGAAUCUCAUGCCUGCAUCACAGAGGGAGGGAACAGUCCCAGUGGAUUCUUCAGGGUGACGUGGAGACCAAACGCUCAGGAACUCACAGCACCUGCCAUGCCAUCUGGCUUAACUGACUCCGACACAUCAUGGCCCAACAUGACUUCCAGCAAGACUGUUCUCUGGGACUCACAGAGGUGAUGACGAGAGACAAAACACGAUGAAUGUCCCCGCAUGCCUCAGAGCUCCUAGGACCUCAGUCCGCUGCUCCCCAGGUUUAAGAGCUGAGAUGUUCCUGUGCCAGUUCAUUUUCCUUCCGGAAUAAAUCGUUUCUGUGUGGGCAACGAGGGCCCCAGGACACCUCUGUGUGGCGGCUGCCUUCCUUUUCCAGAGGCUGCAGGUGACAAAAUCAUCAGCCACAACUUUUGUCAACCACUGGAAUCAUUAAGCAAUGUAAGUCUGCUCACUUAAUUUCAAUAAAACUU